CCUACGGGAGGCAGCAGUGAGGAAUAUUGGUCAAUGGACGAGAGUCUGAACCAGCCAAGUAGCGUGAAGGAUGACUGCCCUAUGGGUUGUAAACUUCUUUUAUAUGGGAAUAAAAUGUUCCACGUGUGGGAUUUUGUAUGUACCAUAUGAAUAAGGAUCGGCUAACUCCGUGCCAGCAGCCGCGGUAAUACGGAGGAUCCGAGCGUUAUACGGAUUUAUUGGGUUUAAAGGGAGCGUAGGUGGAUUGUUAAGUCAGUUGUGAAAGUUUGCGGCUCAACCGUAAAAUUGCAGUUGAAACUGGCAGUCUUGAGUACAGUAGAGGUGGGCGGAAUUCGUGGUGUAGCGGUGAAAUGCUUAGAUAUCACGAAGAACUCCGAUUGCGAAGGCAGUUCACUGGACUGCAACUGACACUGAGGCUCGAAAGUGUGGGUAUCAAACAGGAUUAGAUACCCCUGUAGUC
rnacentral:rRNA from 1 species